GACGUAGGGCGCGAGCGUUGUCCGGAUUUAUUGGGCGUAAAGAGCUCGUAGGCGGCUUGUCGCGUCGAAUGUGAAAUCUCGGGGCUCAACUCCGAGCUUGCAUUCGAUACGGGCAGGCUAGAGUUCGGUAGGGGAGACUGGAAUUCCUGGUGUAGCGGUGAAAUGCGCAGAUAUCAGGAGGAACACCGAUGGCGAAGGCAGGUCUCUGGGCAUUAACUGACGCUGAGGAGCGAAAGCAUGGGGAGCGAACAGG
rnacentral:rRNA from 1 species